ACUUGGCUGGCUUAGUCAGUAGAGCAUGAGACUCUUGAUCUCAGCAAUGUGGGUUCAAGCCCAAUGAUGUGUG
rnacentral:tRNA from 1 species